rnacentral:misc_RNA from 1 species
GAUGAAGAACGUAGUGAAAUGCGAUACUUGGUGUGAAUUGCAGAAUCCCGUGAACCAUCGAGUCUUUGAACGCAAGUUGCGCCCGAAGCCAUUAGGCCGAGGGCACGCCUGCCUGGGCGUCACACGUCGUUGCCCCCCAAUCUACUCCUUCGGGAUUGCGGGGGGCGGAUGAUGGCCUCCCGUGCGCCUCGCCGCGCGGUUGGCAUAAAUGCCAAGUCCUCGGCGACGCACGCCACGACAAUCGGUGGUUGCGAAACCUCGGUUGCCCGUCGUGUGCGGUCGUCGCGCAUCGAGGGCUCGAAAAAAUUGCCGGGUUCCGGCUCGGCUUUCAACGCGACCCCAGGUCAGGCGGGGUUACCCGCUGAAUUUAAGCAUAUCAAUAAGCGGAGGA